GUGUGUGUGUGUGUGUGUGUGUGUGUGUUUCCCACAGGUCCGCUGGUGAACAAACAUCACCGUUCCCCUCGGCGAAGAGGACAGCAGCCCAAGCUCCUCAACAGCCCGGAAGACAGUUUUUAUUACAAUCAUCUCAACAGAAGUCUGGAUUAUCAGGGGAGCAAGAGGAAACCCAGAAAAUUGGGGCAAAUCAAACUGCUGGAUAGCGAGGAUGAAUAUUAUCAAUUACUGUCCGCAGUAGAGUCCAUCUCUGAGGAAGAAGUAUUAUCAGGCACCUCCCCAAGCCCUCCAUCCGCCCUGCCUCUUGUCAAUCCCACCAUCUCAUCCAGAUGAGCUGUGCUCUGUCCAUAACUCUGACUCCAGUUGGAAUCCCCCCUCUGUGUGCAGUGCAGGAGGAGAAAUCUUAAUCCCAUCAAAAGAACUGAUCUACUUCAACAUCAAGCACUCCAAACAGCUCAAAAAGGAACAGUUUAAAAGUCAUAGAUUAGAGACAUCUCUCUGUGGGUGUUUACUUGUAAACAAUUUUUUCUCUGUCUUGUUUUUAUUUUGUCUGCCCUUUACAUAUCAAAUAUCAUCUCCAGACAGUUUACUUGCCUGCAAAGCUCUUAAAUUACUCUUGGUAAACAACUUCAAAGCCUUUUACAUUUUUAUUACACAUUUGCCAUACUUAUUCAUUGAUUCUUGUCAUGUUUGUUGAGGUGACACAUGUUGGAGAUUGAGUUGCUCAUUGAAGGCUUGACUGGUUCGGGGCGGAGCAGAGGGAGGAGAACUGGAAAAUGUUCAGACUAUAUCAAAGAUUGGAUCUCCUCCUCUUUCUUUUUCUGACUGUGCAUCAUAGAACUUAGACAUUAUCAUCCUGUCACGUGCCACCUCCACAUUGUAAUGAGUUGAGUUUGACAAGCCCGGUUUGUUGUGGGACAUCAAUUGUUCUUUCUUAACUGAUUUGUCAUGUUUACUUAAAGAAGACAAUGAACAUUAGUCUCACUUUAAUCACAAGCAAUUAGUACAGCCAAAAGAGGAGUAAUUGAAUGUUUUAAAGGAUUUAUCCAACUGAUUUGUUGACUUAAAGAAAUACUGUAACCCAUCCUAAUUUAAAGACCAAUUUGAGAAAAUGUGUGUUUGCUAGCAUUAAAUAAAUUGAUGUAAUCAAAUUUGAUGUCUAAAUGUAAUGCUAAAACUUUUGAAAGAUUAAUCUUUAAUAGCUCUUCAAAUUUCAACAGGCAUGUGAAGUAAUUACCUUCGUGUGUGUGUGUGUGUGUGUGUGUGUGUGUGUGUGUGUGUGUGUGUGUGUGUGUGUGUGUCACUUUGUGGGGACCAAAUGUCCCCAUAAGGAUAGUAAAACCCAAAAUUUUUGACCUUGUGGGGACAUUUUGUCAGUCCCCAUGAGGAAAACAGCUUAUAAAUCAUACUAAAUUAUGUUUUUUGAAAAUGUAAAAAUGCAGAAAGUUUUCUGUGAGGGUUAGGUUUAGGGGUAGGGUUAGUUUUAGGGGAUAGAAUAUAAAGUUUGUACAGUAUAAAAACCAUUAUGUCUAUGGAAAGUCCCCAUAAAACAUGGAAACACUACGUGUGAGUGUGUGAGUGUGUGAGUGUGUGUGUGUGUGUGUGUGUGUGUGUGUGAGAGAGAGAGAGAUUUCAUUUGAUAUCUAUAUCUUUAAGGAAUAUAUGGUAAAUAAAUCAGAAAUGAACUUUUCCAUAUUUGCCCCAGACUGAUUUUCAGGGGCAUUUUUACUGUUUAUGUAACCAUUAAAAAAUAUACUUAGUUUCAUUCUUUUUUGUCUAAUACUACUAUUUAUAAGUUCAGAAACAUAAAUUCUCGAUGUAAGAUAAUUAUGAGAUAAUGUGUAUAACUAGGCUUAGUUAUUAAGAAAUGUAUUUAAAAAAAAAUAAUAAUUUUUUGGCAAUUCUGGUGCCAUUUUCCUCCCAUGCAACCCCUGGUAAUUUCUGACCCUGAUAUGUAUAACAUACAUAUGAAUUAUAUUUACAUAUAAAAUAACUAAUUAUUGAAGUAUCUUAAUAUAUUUUUAAUUUCAUGUAUAUAUAAAUAUACUGUAUACAGACAAACACAUAUAUACAUAUUCAUUUAAACAUAAACAUUUGGGUGCGUUUAUUAAUUUUGUUUCUGUUGUUAUUAUUGCAUUUGCUCCCUGGAUAACUUUAUUCGUACAAUUUAUAAUUAUACUCUUAGGUUAUCAACACUAGAUUAAAUCUAUUCUACUUAUUUUUUUUGUUUGUUUUUUUCAUGUUUCUUAAUGGGUUUAAUUUGUAUCUAUUCUACUUAUUCUGCCCAUUGCACGUGCACUCUUCACGUGGCACAAAAUUACACACCCCAUGUGUUUACUUUUUUGAAUACUGAAUUUGUUUUGUAAUGUUAUAUAUCUUUCUAAUUAGUGAAUAAAUGACAUUUUAACUGUGAAUUGUUGGAGCAACCCAUCAAGUUGAAUCUCUUGUAAACUGUAUGUCCAAUAAACGUCGAUUCUCC